rnacentral:rRNA from 1 species
AUGAACGCUAGCGACAGGCCUAACACAUGCAAGUCGAGGGGCAGCACAAGGAGCAAUCUGAGGUGGCGACCGGCGCACGGGUGAGUAACACGUAUGCAACCUGCCUGUAAGCGGGGAAUAACCCGUUGAAAGACGGACUAAUACCGCAUAAUACUAAAUUACUGCAUGGUAAUUUAUUUAAACAUUUAUGGCUUACAGAUGGGCAUGCGCAUGAUUAGCUAGUUGGGGAGGUAACGGCUCCCCAAGGCAACGAUCAUUAGGGGUUCUGAGAGGAAGGUCCCCCACACUGGUACUGAGACACGGACCAGACUCCUACGGGAGGCAGCAGUGAGGAAUAUUGGUCAAUGGACGAGAGUCUGAACCAGCCAAGUCGCGUGCAGGAAGAAUGUCCUUAAUGGAUUGUAAACUGCUUUUGCAGGGGAAUAAAGUGCAUCACGUGUGAUGUUUUGUAUGUACUCUGCGAAUAAGGAUCGGCUAACUCCGUGCCAGCAGCUGC